GCCAUGGCCCCCGCCCGGGGCCGCCUGCCCCCCGCGCUCUGGGUCGUCACGGCCGCGGCGGCGGCGGCCACCUGCGUGUCCGCGGCGCGCGGCGAAGUGAACUUGCUGGACACGUCGACCAUCCACGGGGACUGGGGCUGGCUCACGUAUCCGGCUCACGGGUGGGACUCCAUCAACGAGGUGGACGAGGCCUUCCAGCCCAUUCACACGUACCAGGUGUGCAACGUCAUGAGCCCCAACCAGAACAACUGGCUGCGCACAAGCUGGGUGCCCCGCGACGGCGCACGGCGCGUCUACGCCGAGAUCAAGUUCACCCUGCGCGACUGCAACAGCAUGCCCGGCGUGCUGGGCACCUGCAAGGAGACCUUCAACCUCUACUACCUGGAGUCGGACCGCGACCUGGGCUCCAGCACCCAGGAGAGCCAGUUCCUCAAGAUCGACACCAUCGCGGCCGACGAGAGCUUCACCGGCGCCGACCUGGGCGUGCGGCGGCUCAAGCUCAACACCGAGGUGCGCGGCGUGGGCCCCCUCAGCAAGCGCGGCUUCUACCUGGCCUUCCAGGACAUCGGCGCCUGCCUCGCCAUCCUCUCUCUCCGCAUCUACUACAAGAAGUGCCCCGCCAUGGUGCGCAACCUGGCCGCCUUCUCGGAGGCGGUGACCGGGGCCGACUCCUCCUCGCUGGUGGAGGUCCGGGGCCAGUGUGUGCGGCACUCGGAGGAGCGGGACACGCCCAAGAUGUACUGCAGCGCCGAGGGCGAGUGGCUGGUGCCCAUUGGCAAGUGCGUGUGCAGUGCCGGCUACGAGGAGCGGCGGGAUGCCUGUGUGGCCUGCGAGCUGGGCUUCUACAAGUCGGCCCCUGGGGACCAGCUGUGUGCCCGCUGCCCUCCCCACAGCCACUCUGCAGCCCCGGCUGCCCAGGCCUGCCGCUGUGACCUCAGCUACUACCGUGCAGCCCUGGACCCGCCGUCUGCAGCCUGCACCCGGCCGCCCUCAGCACCCGUGAACCUGAUCUCCAGUGUGAAUGGGACGUCCGUGACCCUGGAGUGGGCCCCUCCCCUGGACCCCGGCGGCCGCAGCGACAUCACCUACAACGCCGUGUGCCGCCGCUGCCCCUGGGCACUGAGCCACUGCGAGGCGUGCGGGAGCGGCCCCCGCUUCGUGCCCCAGCAGACGAGCCUGGUGCAGGCCAGCCUGCUGGUGGCCAACCUGCUGGCCCACAUGAACUACUCCUUCUGGAUCGAGGCCGUCAAUGGCGUGUCCGACCUGAGCCCCGAGCCCCGCCGGGCCGCCGUGGUCAACAUCACCACGAACCAGGCAGCCCCGUCCCAGGUGGUGGUGAUCCGGCAGGAGCGCACAGGGCAGACUAGCGUGUCGCUGCUGUGGCAGGAGCCGGAGCAGCCCAAUGGCAUCAUCCUGGAGUACGAGAUCAAGUACUAUGAGAAGGACAAGGAGAUGCAGAGCUACUCCACGCUCAAGGCUGUCACCACCAGUGCCACCGUGUCGGGCCUCAAGCCGGGCACGCGCUACGUGUUCCAGGUCCGAGCCCGCACCUCGGCAGGCUGCGGCCGCUUCAGCCAGGCCAUGGAGGUGGAGACGGGGAAACCCCGGCCCCGCUACGACACCCGCACCAUCGUCUGGAUCUGCCUGACGCUCAUCACUGGCCUGGUCGUGCUCUUGGUCCUGCUCAUCUGCAAGAAGAGGCACUGCGGCUACAGCAAGGCCUUCCAGGACUCGGACGAGGAGAAGAUGCAUUACCAGAGCGGGCAGGGUGAGUCGGGGAAGGAGCAGGCGUCCACAGAGGGGACGAGAGCCCGGGGACAGAGCGGGGUGGCCCGAGGUCCCAGCCCCCGAGGCACAGUGCCGUGCCCCUUUGCCGGAGACCUGGGUCUGCACGUCCACACGCGGUCGCACCAGGAUUUCCCGAGGGCUCGGCCACUCCUGGACGAGGAUCCCAACUGCAGACAGGUUGUCAGGAUUCACCCAGAAAACAAGGCAGCCGUGGGGAUCCCACCCCACACGCCACUCCCACACCCAGCGCCCCCACCUGUCUUCCUGCCCCUGCACCACCCCCCAGGGAAGUUUCCAGAGCCCCAGAUCUGCGCAGAACCCCACAACUACGAGGAGCCGGGCCGGGCGGGCCGUGGUUUCACCCGCGAGAUUGAGGCCUCCCGGAUCCACAUCGAGAAAAUCAUCGGCUCCGGAGAGUCCGGGGAAGUCUGCUACGGGUGGCUACGGGUGCCGGGGCAGCGGGACGUGCCCGUGGCCAUCAAGGCCCUCAAAGCCGGCUACACGGAGAGGCAGAGGCGGGACUUCCUGAGCGAGGCGUCCAUCAUGGGCCAGUUCGACCACCCCAACAUCAUCCGCCUUGAGGGUGUCGUCACACGGGGUAGGAGCUUCCCCCCAAGGAGACCCCCACCCGGGCCAGCUCCUGGGAAGGGGCGUGUCUUGAGGUCUGUGAGUGUCUCCCGUGCUCCUCACCAGGAGCCCCCCUCCCGCUCCCCUUGCCCAGGCCGUCUGGCGAUGAUCGUGACCGAGUACAUGGAGAAUGGCUCUCUGGACGCCUUCCUGAGGACCCACGACGGGCAGUUCACCAUCAUGCAGCUGGUGGGCAUGCUCCGGGGCGUGGGCGCCGGCAUGCGCUACCUCUCGGACCUGGGCUACGUGCACCGCGACCUGGCCGCCCGCAACGUGCUGGUGGGCGGCGACCUGGUCUGCAAAGUGUCUGACUUCGGGCUCUCGCGCGUGCUGGAGGACGACCCAGAGGCUGCCUACACCACCACGGGAGGCAAGAUCCCCAUCCGCUGGACAGCCCCCGAGGCCAUCGCCUUCCGGACCUUCUCCUCGGCCAGCGACGUGUGGAGCUUCGGGGUGGUCAUGUGGGAGGUGCUGGCCUACGGGGAGCGGCCCUACUGGAACAUGACCAACCGGGACGUCAUCAGCUCGGUGGAGGAGGGGUACCGGCUGCCGGCGCCCAUGGGUUGCCCCCGCGCCCUGCACCAGCUCAUGCUGGACUGUUGGCACAAGGACCGGGCCCAGCGGCCCCGCUUCUCCCACAUCGUCAGCGUCCUCGAUGCGCUGAUCCGGAGUCCCGAGAGUCUGCGGGCCACGGCCACUGCCAGCAGGUGCCCGCCCCCUGCCUUUGCCCGCAGCUGCUUUGACCUGCGAGCAGGUGGGGGUGGGGGCGGGGGCCUCACGGUGGGGGACUGGCUGGACUCCAUCCGCAUGGGCCGCUACCGAGACCACUUCGCCGCUGGCGGAUACUCCUCCCUGGGCAUGGUGCUGCGGAUGAACGCGCAGGACGUGCGUGCCCUGGGCAUCACCCUCAUGGGCCACCAGAAGAAGAUCCUAGGCAGCAUCCAGACCAUGAGAGCGCAGCUGAGCAGCACCCAGGGCCCGCGCCGGCACCUCUGACUGCAGACCCGGCCAGCCCAGGCCACACAGCUGGCAGCGCACCUGACCCCGCCUCCUGGCCCGAGGCUCCGCCCCAGGCUGGAGAGCGCCAUGGGCUCAGGCGCCUUGGCCGGGACACCUGCUGCCCAGGGCAGAAGCCAUCUCUCUUCCGGAGCCUGGGGCUUCGUCGGACAGAGGAAAACAGGGUUCCUGGCCAGUCCCUCCGGCCACCUCUCUGCUGGCUCCUGAGCCGCUCUCGGCUGGACGUGGCUGCCCGGCCGGGCUGGGCGACCAUCGCUGGCCCCAGCCGCCGAUGCCUCUCUCCACAGCCCAGCUCUCCUCACUCGGAAGCCCCCUUGCCAACCCCUCACUGCCCAGCCCUGACCCCAUGCCCAGGACAGUGAGACCCCACUUCUCAGCCCUCCCUGCGCCAGUGGGGGAGGGGCCUGCCCAGGUUGUGCCUUGGCCAGGGCCACACAGCAGCCGGGUUUUAGGGCUGGACCAUGGCUGGGAGGGGCCCUGGGAAGCCCCUCCCCUCGAAGACUGGCCCUGCCCCUUCCGGCCCACCAGGGUAUAUAAAUAAUCUGUUUUCUAUCCUGUCGGAAUAUUUUUUCCUCACUCUUGACAAUGCAAAAAUGGUCCUCAAAGCACAUGGGAAGCACCCAGGGAGAGAACGCCCCUCGCAGGGGCAGUGUGGCCCCAGCCCUGGCCAGCACAGCCGUCCCGCGGAGACACCAGCACCGAGCCCCUCUCUUGCAAUAAUUCGGGGAGCCGCGGCCCGCGCUCCACACCUCUGGAUCUGCAUCGCGAUCCAGCCCAGCCGCUCGUCCUUCCUAUGGAAGGGGGAAUCUCGGACCCCGCCUCACUCGGUUUCUGGGCUCGGGGCCCUCGCGGUCUCGGGGACACGGUGGGCCUGCCCCCCUCACCAUGUGGGUCCCCCUUCAAGGGGCCCAGGGGUCUGCUCUGUGGGCCCUGUCCCGAGUCUGGAACUUUCCCCCGGUGAGAAUAAAUUCUGCCUCA